rnacentral:lncRNA from 1 species
AGAGCUAAAAUAAACGAAUAAACAUAAAAAAGUUAAACAGUCCAAAGUCAAUUACAAUGUGAAGAUCUAGCUAAUCAAUGAAAGCUAACUGAACUACACUAAACCAAAUUAUUGAACACAAGUACAAUUGCAACAUGGCCUUUAUUUCAUCCCAAAUUAAGAGCUACAUCAUAGGAGAGCCAAGAUUGAUACCUGGAUGUAAAAGAAACAAAGAAAAAAUGAUGAAGAAUCAGCAACUAACAGAGCAGUAAUCAGUAGCUUUGAAUAAGUUAUGAACCAGAAAGCCCAAAAAUGGAUUUGUU